rnacentral:rRNA from 1 species
AGCGAACGCUGGCGGCAGGCCUAAAACAUGCAAGUCGAACGCCUGUAGCAAUACAGGAGUGGCAGACGGGUGAGUAACACGUGGGAACGUACCCUUUGGUUCGGAACAACACAGGGAAACUUGUGCUAAUACCGGAUAAGCCCUUACGGGGAAAGAUUUAUCGCCAGAGGAUCGGCCCGCGUCUGAUUAGCUUGUUGGUGAGGUAACGGCUCACCAAGGCUACGAUCAGUAGCUGGUCUGAGAGGAUGAUCAGCCACACUGGGACUGAGACACGGCCCAGACUCCUACGGGAGGCAGCAGUUAGGAAUCUUGGACAAUGGGCGCAAGCCUGAUCCAGCCAUGCCGCGUGAGUGAUGAAGGCCUUAGGGUUGUAAAGCUCUUUCAGCGGGGAAGAUAAUGACGUACCCGCAGAAGAAGCCCCGGCUAACUCCGUGCCAGCAGCCGCGGUAAC